rnacentral:rRNA from 1 species
UACGAAGGGGGCUAGCGUUGCUCGGAAUUACUGGGCGUAAAGCGCACGUAGGCGGCUUUCUAAGUCGGGGGUGAAAUCCUGGAGCUCAACUCCAGAACUGCCUUCGAUACUGGAGAGCUCGAGUCCGGAAGAGGUGAGUGGAAUUCCUAGUGUAGAGGUGAAAUUCGUAGAUAUUAGGAAGAACACCAGUGGCGAAGGCGGCUCACUGGUCCGGUACUGACGCUGAGGUGCGAAAGCGUGGGGAGCAAACAGG